rnacentral:lncRNA from 1 species
AGAGGGUCAGAAAGGGGUAAGUCAUUAUAGAAGGAACUCCCCCAUCCUUAAUGGCCUUGAAGCCCCCUGGAAGGCUGACCACAAAGGAACUAUUACAAAUCCUUGACUGUGAAGUCACCGUCACCAGAUGGGACUAAUACUACUUCUCUGGAAGUUCCAUUAACAGAAUUCCCAAAGGCCAAAAGACAAGGAGGGUCCAUUGGACAGCAAGGUGUUUGCAGGAUCUCCACACAUCACCAGCGGCAGACAACAGGCAGGGCUCCCACAGUGCAGUGGAUUAACAUUCAUCGAUGAACAAUGAACCCAAAGCUGGUGGCUGUGGUUUAGUUCCCCUAAAUACAGUGGACACUUCAUUCGCAACAGGAUCUUACUUUUUGGUUUAUGGAUAAUCAACCCAAACCGCAUGUCGACACGGUUACAGUUAAAAAAGGCAUUAGUGAGAAGAGAGCUAAAGCUACAGAAAAAAAUGGUACAAAAUUGCAAAAGAGCAACUGCGACUAAAUCAUUUUCCCUAUCAAAGAGUUCAGAAGGGAGAAUACAUUUUAUCAGGUAUUCCUCCCUCGCGUCUUCCGCUGCAGCCUGCUGGAAAACUUGCCAUUAAAAAGCUGGAAGAGCUCCUUGCAGCACAUAUCACUAGCUGUCUCCGGGUACAUUCUCUUCGCAUGCCUCGCUUCAACAUCGAGUCUCGCUCAAUGUCAAGUCUUGCUACACUGGCAAACAUCGAGAAUCCUUUAUAGAGAAAGUUACAGUAUACAGGUUUCGGGCCAACAAACCGUCAUGAUGCAGCGACAAUCCAAGUGGUCGAAGAGCCGUAUUGGAAAUGCUGGAGAUUAGCCAUACUUCAAUAAAGCAGAUUCUGGGUUUGAUUAAACACACAUCAUAAUUUUAUUUAUUUUAUUUGUAUGUAUAUCAUACCUUAUUUAUAUAUAUAUUACUAAUUAUUCUUAUACUAAUAAAUUAUUUUAUUCAUACCCAGUAAAGGGAUAGGGUUAAUUCGCAGAAAGCAUGUCUUGCUUACCACAGUUAAUAGAGAAUACUCAUUAGCUGUGUGUGUGCAGGCAGUGGCGGACUGGCCAGUCGGGCAUUUGGGCAAUUCCCGGUGUGCCGGUGGGCCUAUUUUGUUCAAUAGAGUAGUAUUCUAGGCCUAUUUUAGUGAGAAGGGCAGCUCUGUAAAUAAUGCCCGGGUCGCUUUAAAGCUCCAGUCCGCCCCUGUGUGUGUGUGUGUGCGUGCGCGCGUGUGUGCGUGUGUGUUUCUUCGUGUGCUUUUAUUUCUUUGUGUCAGUUGCAGUGCCUUAAAGAGGAUAUGUUCUGUGUUUUUAACACGUGUUGCCAAGAACUCCGCUGUAGGGCUGGUAUGAGUGCUGCAUGGUUGUGUAAACUCAACUUAUGGCGUGCCGAAGAAUUAUCUUUUCACACUUUCCCCACUGUUAUUUUCAAAAACUUUAAAAAAAAAAACAAUGUGAACCCUUGGACACGCACCACAAUACUCAGAGCGUGGCGAACAAAUCUUUUGUUGUUGUAUAAUGUGAUAUAAUAUCGGUUAUAAAUAUGUAACCUCUUGUACAUGAGCUCUUUCCUCAUUUAAGAAUGAAAAGUCGCUUGUAAAUGUUUCCUGUCACGACUGUGCGCGCGCAUGCACACUGUAAGGACUCGUCACACUCUCGAACACGUCUUGUCCUGUGACGUUCACUGUCUACAGUCUCGGCUAACUACAGAUGUAUCACAUGUUUACACCUGCACGCUCACACACUGACAGAUUGAAGACCUUUGUUACAAAAUCAGAUUUAAUGGUCCAGAAAGUGGAAACGGUACAAGACGAGUGUGAAGACAAGCCGAAGCACAAGACGCCAUCAAAAACAUUGGGUUAUCAACGACUCAUUCCACUCAGGCAGGACAUGGAGACUCGUAGCUGCUACACCUUCACGACUAGACCCACGAGAGCUGCAAGUUUCAUAAUUGAAUGUGACAAGGACUAAUUGUUGUGAUUUCACUUCCAAUGAGCUAAUUCUUGCUAUGAAAGCCGUUAAAGAUGGUGUAACGAGAACUCCGAUAUUGCUAUGUACGGAAAGAAAAGGACUAGGUACUCUCAGCUACUAUGGGUGGUGGCGCUUGUGUUCCCUGUCUGCCACGAUCAGUACAACAUCUCACGCUGCUUACAACAAAAGAAAAUGAGCAAGUCAGUAUUAUGGCAUCCCGCAAUAAAAUACAGUCAAGACGAGAGGAGUUAGUAGUAAUGCACAUCUCGACACAAGCAACACCACCACUGAGGGGACAUCAGGUACAAAUGCUUUUUCUUGUUAAUAGAACAAAAAUCUAAAAAAAUUGUCGUCAUUGGCCAGAACGACUCUUUCAAAUUAUGCACAAAGGUAUCCACAAGCUUCCUAAAUUGCACAUAUGAAGAUAUAAGAAUAAAUUAAAACUAAACAACGAGAAAAAAAGCAAAAACUACUUUCAUUCCGUUUAUAAACAUGGUGUGAGAAUUGUAAAGAAAGUUUUCAAAACAAUAUCAAAAAACACAUUGCGGAAACACUAAAUAUUUGUGUCUGCAUUAUUUUGAUAGAAACUCGUAGGCGGGCCAAGAGUGGAUUCUUGCCAUGAAUACGAAACGAUGAAUUUAUUGUAUACCUCUCGUUGUAAACAACACAUGUAAAAAUCUAUGUUUAUAAACCUGAAAUAAGUCAACAGAAAAAAAUUGGCAAAAUGUUUAGGACAAAAAAAAAUCAGUUGUAGGCUACACGCUACCGUCCUUACAUAUAAAAAGAACGUACUACGUGAGCAAACAAGGGUUUGACAACGACGAAUCAUCUGAUUUUCUAAACAUUUUGCAAUAUUAUAUUU